UGCAUCGCCGUUGGACUCUCGCCUGUCUUCUCUGAAGGAUCCAUGGGAUAGUCCCGCGAUCCUAGAAGUGUGCUGGGGCGACCCAGCCUGAAGAAACCUCAAGCGGAGCCCAAGGGAUACAGCGCAAAAUUCCUAAGGAUCCGCAGGAUGCUUCAGGCCUGCCUAGACGGUGUGGGUGUGAGUCUCCUUGAAACUUGCCCCCCUGUGAUUUCUAGGGCCUAUUGAAUUCACUUCGAAAUCCGUUGCCAGCAGAGCAGGAGCUUCAGGUGGGGAGGCGAGCACUCCUCCAUCGUCUUGGUAUUUCAUUCUGGUCGGAGAGGUCCGAUACGGGCUUGAAAUCGCCCUUAGACAGCCUCUGAGACACUUUCUCAACCUCACCUGCCCCGGUGGGAUGCCAACUCCAGGUGUCAGACCUCUGCUCCACCUUGGACUAGCCUUUGUCGUGGUUCCUGCCUUUCCCAGACGACCGUGCUGAGAAGCAGGAGCCCCUGUGAGGCCCAGGAUGAAGGAAGACAGUGAGCUUAAGGACACAGGAAUCUUCCGCUAGCACCAUCAUCCAGAAUUUUAACUAAAAUUCCAUCUCAAAGAGACCCCUCAAAAACUCACAAGACU
rnacentral:lncRNA from 1 species